GUCGAAGCAAACAGAUGGAUAAUCAUCAGUUCAAAGCGUGGGAAGAAUAUUUGAAUUUCUGUGAAGCGAAGAUUUUGACCGUAUUUCUUCAGACGAUAGGCAGGAUUGCAGGACCUGGAACCUGUUGUUAUUCAAUGCAAUGAUGGAUUCUUACGCAGUGGGCUAUUUGCGGCACUUCACUUCAUUGUAGACCGAAUUAACACCGACAAGGCAGUUGCAAUAGCAGACACGGUCAGGGUGGUGAAACAUCGGCGCCAAGCAAAUGUUAUUGAUGUGGAGACGGUCGACCCUUUGUGACCUGUGUAGGCGGAGUUUUGCAACAAAAAAGCAACGCUCUGAUUGGGCGCUGGUGAAUCACCAUGGUGAAUGGAUAUGCCUUCAAUAUAUCAAACUGGGUUUUGAGUCACACAUUCGGAAGGAUAACAGCAAUGGAAGGGAUUAAGAAAUUGCAAAAGGAGAA